AAGUGAGAAUGCCGGUGUGAGUAGCGAAAGACGGGUGAGAAUCCCGUCCACCGAUUGACUAAGGUUUCCAGAGGAAGGCUCGUCCGCUCUGGGUUAGUCGGGUCCUAAGCUGAGGCCGACAGGCGUAGGCGAUGGAUAACAGGUUGAUAUUCCUGUACCACCUAUAAUCGUUUUAAUCGAUGGGGGGACGCAGUAGGAUAGGCGAAGCGUGCGAUUGGAUUGCACGUCUAAGCAGUAAGGCUGAGUAUUAGGCAAAUCCGGUACUCGUUAAGGCUGAGCUGUGAUGGGGAGAAGACAUUGUGUCUUCGAGUCGUUGAUUUCACACUGCCGAGAAAAGCCUCUAGAUAGAAAAUAGGUGCCCGUACCGCAAACCGACACAGGUAGUCAAGAUGAGAAUUCUAAGGUGAGCGAGCGAACUCUCGUUAAGGAACUCGGCAAAAUGACCCCGUAACUUCGGGAGAAGGGGUGCUCUUUAGGGUUAACGCCCAGAAGAGCCGCAGUGAAUAGGCCCAAGCGACUGUUUAUCAAAAACACAGGUCUCUGCUAAACCGUAAGGUGAUGUAUAGGGGCUGACGCCUGCCCGGUGCUGGAAGGUUAAGAGGAGUGGUUAGCUUCUGCGAAGCUACGAAUCGAAGCCCCAGUAAACGGCGGCCGUAACUAUAACGGUCCUAAGGUAGCGAAAUUCCUUGUCGGGUAAGUUCCGACCCGCACGAAAGGCGUAACGAUUUGGGCACUGUCUCAACGAGAGACUCGGUGAAAUCAUAGUACCUGUGAAGAUGCAGGUUACCCGCGACAGGACGGAAAGACCCCGUGGAGCUUUACUGUAGCCUGAUAUUGAAAUUCGGCACAGCUUGUACAGGAUAGGUAGGAGCCUUUGAAACGUGAGCGCUAGCUUACGUGGAGGCGCUGGUGGGAUACUACCCUAGCUGUGUUGGCUUUCUAACCCGCACCACUUAUCGUGGUGGGAGACAGUGUCAGGCGGGCAGUUUGACUGGGGCGGUCGCCUCCUAAAAGGUAACGGAGGCGCUCAAAGGUUUCCUCAGAAUGGUUGGAAAUCAUUCAUAGAGUGUAAAGGCAUAAGGGAGCUUGACUGCGAGACCUACAAGUCGAGCAGGGUCGAAAGACGGACUUAGUGAUCCGGUGGUUCCGCAUGGAAGGGCCAUCGCUCAACGGAUAAAAGCUACCCCGGGGAUAACAGGCUUAUCUCCCCCAAGAGUUCACAUCGACGGGGAGGUUUGGCACCUCGAUGUCGGCUCAUCGCAUCCUGGGGCUGUAGUCGGUCCCAAGGGUUGGGCUGUUCGCCCAUUAAAGCGGUACGCGAGCUGGGUUCAGAACGUCGUGAGACAGUUCGGUCCCUAUCCGUCGUGGGCGUAGGAAAUUUGAGAGGAGCUGUCCUUAGUACGAGAGGACCGGGAUGGACAUACCUCUGGUGUACCAGUUGUCGUGCCAACGGCAUAGCUGGGUAGCUAUGUGUGGACGGGAUAAGUGCUGAAAGCAUCUAAGCAUGAAGCCCCCCUCAAGAUGAGAUUUCCCAACUUCGGUUAUAAGAUCCCUCAAAGAUGAUGAGGUUAAUAGGUUCGAGGUGGAAGCAUGGUGACAUGUGGAGCUGACGAAUACUAAUCGAUCGAAGACUUAAUCAA
rnacentral:rRNA from 1 species